rnacentral:rRNA from 1 species
UCUCCUGGGAAACGGGUGGUAAUGCCGGAUGCUCCAUCACACCGCAUGGUGUGUUGGGAAAGCCUUUGCGGCAUGGGAUGGGGUCGCGUCCUAUCAGCUUGAUGGCGGGGUAACGGCCCACCAUGGCUUCGACGGGUAGCCGGCCUGAGAGGGCGACCGGCCACAUUGGGACUGAGAUACGGCCCAGACUCCUACGGGAGGCAGCAGUGGGGAAUAUUGCACAAUGGGCGCAAGCCUGAUGCAGCGACGCCGCGUGAGGGAUGGAGGCCUUCGGGUUGUAAACCUCUUUUGUUAGGGAGCAAGGCAUUUUGUGUUGAGUGUACCUUUCGAAUAAGCACCGGCUAACUACGUGCCAGCAGCCGCGGUAAUACGUAGGGUGCAAGCGUUAUCCGGAAUUAUUGGGCGUAAAGGGCUCGUAGGCGGUUCGUCGCGUCCGGUGUGAAAGUCCAUCGCUUAACGGUGGAUUCGCGCCGGGUACGGGCGGGCUUGAGUGCGGUAGGGGAGACUGGAAUUCCCGGUGUAACGGUGGAAUGUGUAGAUAUCGGGAAGAACACCA